ensembl:snRNA U1 U1 spliceosomal RNA
AUUCUUACCUGGCAGGGGAGAUACCAUGAUCACGAAGGUGGUUUUCCCAGGACACGACUUAUCCAUUGAACUCCAGAUGUGCUGACCCCUGUGAUUUCCCCAAAUGUGGGAAACUCGACUACAUGAUUUGCGGUAGUGGGGGACUUUGUUUGCACUCUCCCCUG